rnacentral:rRNA from 1 species
UGGACUGAAGACGCUAAUGGGUGUGGAGUUUGACUGGGGCGGCACAUCUGCUGGACUCGAACGCAACACUACCCGGGCGAGCUCAACGGAAAUAGA